rnacentral:rRNA from 1 species
GAUGAACGCUGGCGGCGUGCUUAACACAUGCAAGUCGAACGAAGCACUUUAUUUGAUUUCCUUCGGGACUGAUUAUUUUGUGACUGAGUGGCGGACGGGUGAGUAACGCGUGGGUAACCUGCCUUGUACAGGGGGAUAACAGUUGGAAACGGCUGCUAAUACCGCAUAAGCGCACAGCAUCGCAUGAUGCAGUGUGAAAAACUCCGGUGGUAUAAGAUGGACCCGCGUUGGAUUAGCUAGUUGGUGAGGUAACGGCCCACCAAGGCGACGAUCCAUAGCCGACCUGAGAGGGUGACCGGCCACAUUGGGACUGAGACACGGCCCAAACUCCUACGGGAGGCAGCAGUGGGGAAUAUUGCACAAUGGGCGAAAGCCAGAUGCAGCGACGCUGCGUGAGCGAAGAAGUAUUUCGGUAUGUAAAGCUCUAUCAGCAGGGAAGAUAAUGACGGUACCUGACUAAGAAGCACCGGCUAAAUACGUG